GGCAUCCCCUUGAGCGCUAGCCCCGCCCCCGGCUCCCCUCCCGUCCCCUCCCAGCCUCCCGCCCGCCGGAGCCGGCCUCUCCCGCCCCUCCCGGCGAGCACGUGGUGCCCCGCGCCGGCCGGGCCACCUCCGCCUGCCUCGGGCACGCAAGCGGCGGGGCAGCGGGUGCGGGCCUGGUGGCCGCGGGCUCUUUCCCGACCGGCCCCCGCGGCUGUCUGACAACCUGUCGACACCGGUUUACAGUUGUCGGACACUGGGGUUUGCUGUUUCGCAGCCGAGGUGUGUCUGCUGUUUCAUAAAAACAUCUCGGCUCCUGCUUUUCCGCGGAAGGGGCUGGCCCCGGGCGCGGUGACAGCCAGCCGACGGGGAGCGGCCUCUCUUCGGAAGUUGGAGCUGCCUUUGCUUUCCUGGAAGUCUUUGGCAGAAGUGCACCCAGGUGAACCUCAUGUGCCACUAACCCGGCGUGGCGUGCCAUCCGAUGCGCUCUGGCGUCCCAGGGGCCCCCACUAGGUAUUAAGUCAUAUGGACAUGACCGACCGUGCUGUACUUGGAGAAGCGGGAAGCGGCCAAACUCUGCAACCUUUCUCUAUUGUGGAAACUUUGCGAAAGAGAACCCUAGCUGAGAAGCCACUUGCUGGGGGAAGCAGAUGCCGUCUGUGGUAGCGGUUUCUUGGGGGCGAGAGACCUUUUCUUAACAGAGACUGCAUCACAGCAGCGCAAGGGAAGCAUUCCAGGUGCCCAACGUGGUGAUGAGAAAAGCACAAGUGGCCUGGGCGCCCCUCCUUUGUCCCUUGGGUGUGCAGGAAGUAAACUUAAGAAGAGCACGCCCGCCUGAGGCAGCUAGGCGACCAGGCCAGGGACAGGACGUCCCUCUCCACCCUCUGCCCUGAGGAAAGAGAGAGCCUAUGAGGCAGGACCCAGCACUGCUGGUUGGCUCCCCGUGGCCCCCCUAGGGGCCUGGCCGCUCUAGGGCUCAGAUGCUGAGUGCAAGGUCCUCCUGAGCUCCCUCUGCUCAGACAGGUUGGGCAGGCAGCUACUGAGCUUUACUUGCUGGCUUGGUUCCCGUGGCCCAGAUGGGGAGCGUGUCCAGGGUACCAGUCUGGGCUACUGGGCCACUUUGCACCGCAUCUUUCACGCAGCAGUCAGAGCUCCCAGCUUCCGGUGGAACCUGCAGGAAUUUCAUUCACUGGACUCUGGUUGUUGUACUCCGUUUGUGCCGUUUGGAGCUGUGGGAUUGAGGCUGACGUCUGGGCUUGGUUGCCAGCAUGCUCUGUUGCAGGUGACCUGGGCCACCCAUACCCUGGACACCAACUGCUGGGAUCAUGGCAGCAUUGGGAUGGCUCCCGUUUCUCCAUUUUGGGGUCUGAGGACAGACACAGAGCCACUGCCCAUAAUAGUAAUGUCAUCACCAGCUCUGUAAUGAGGCUGUAAUUUCUCUGCUCAGAGUCAGGCUUUAUUCUUCUUCAUGCUGCUGCCGCCCCCAUCUUCACCCCAGGAGCCCCAGCUCUCUCCAGAAAUACCCUGCAACUGCCUGGGCUCCUUUCCUGCUGUGACAGAUUCUGGAGGCAGGGAUAGGCGCUUGGCACUUCUGCUCUGGGAAGUCCCUAACCACAGCUCUCUCCUAUUCCCCAGCCCACCUCCAGGCAUCCCAACCCCUUCUCCCCAGCAUCCAAAACAAACCAAAGGGCCAGCUCCACCUCUGUUCCCUUUAGCAAACUCCAGAGUCACAUUUCAGGGCAACAGGUAAACACGGGUGAGAUAAGCCCUCUUGUGUGACCAGGAUAAUGAGGUGGAAUGUAAACCAGUGUCAGGAUCCAGCCACAGAAUUGAUCAUCUCCUUCCCACCUUACCCCCAAAAGUCCACCUUGACAUCCGGCACCCGGUAGCUAUCAGAACGUGGAGGAGGAGGGGCCAUCAGAGGAAGCUUUGUCCAGACCCUCACCAGCCCAGCAAUGCCUCCCCACCAUGCUCUGCAUGUAUUACCUCCAUUCAGGUCAUGAAAUGAUUGUAGGUUCCUGGAGACACCUGGGAGGUGAGUGGGGAAAACCCCUCUGGAAACCAGCUUGAGGAUUAGCCAGUUACAGAGGAAAUUAGAAUUAGAAAGGACUGGACUUGCCCCAAGGGAGCCAUGGAAAGGUGUCAGAGCAGCAAAUGUGGCCAUCCGCCCAAGGCUAUGGGCUGGGAUCCUAGCAGACCCUGGUGACUUAGAUCACCUCUUCCCUUCUUUCUCUUUGGCCCUUUUUCAGAAAACUUCCACAGAGAGGACUAGGAAGUUGUAAGAAAACUGCCUCCAAAGCAUCCUAUUGGAGAGGGGGAGGGGCAGAGAAGGACUGAGAACUUGGUGGCUCAGCUUUGCCAAGGACGUGUCCUCCGGAAAGUAAGCCCUCUACUCAGUUUUAAUCAUCACGUGACUAAGUAGGGCUGAGGAAGGCCAGGGUGCCGAGCCAGGAGAGAGGCUCACGCCAGGGACCUUGGCCUGACUUCACUGUACUCCUCAUCCAGGUCCAGUUCACCAGCUCCACCCUUUCGGGUCCAGCCAUCCCUCUGCUGGCCUCAGUGCUGCGGGGCAAGUAGGAGGGAGGAGUUGGGUCCUGCUCACCCUCAGGCACUGGAGGGGGAUGAGUACUGGGGCUCCAGCGUCCCACUGUCUGAAAACCCAUGGCCUCCAGAGUGUGGCUCUGGGUGAGGGAACUGGAAGAGGCCAGCUUCUCAGACCCUCAGCCACUGUUGCCGCUUGGCAUGGGAUCCCUCCAGCCAGCCCAACCACGGGUCUGGAGCAGUUCCCUCCUAUCCUCACCCUCCAUCACUGAGACAGAGGCAGGGCCGCCCAGCGGUGCAGAGGAGACCUAGGGGUCGCUGCACGAUCUGAUCGGAGCUCUGCCCGGCCAGCGUCCCGGCGGGUCUGGGAGCUUGGUGCUCCUCAAGGACCUCCAUUCCUGGGCCUUUGGCAGGUGGCCCCUGUUGCCUGCGCGGCCCCGCCGAGCCCAGCUCGACAGUAGCCGUUGACCCAGACUUACUAGCUGGAAAGCCUGUAUUCUUGGUGCGCUCCUGCUAGGAUGUGGGCCUCGGAGGCACCCAUGGGUGCGCAGGGUUGCGUGUAAUGUGCGGACCUCAGCUAGGAGGGAAGCUGGGAGGGGCUGUGGUGGGCAGGGGAGGAAGCCUUGAGGCCUUGGCGAGUGGGGGUGGGGCUCAGGGAGGGUUGGUGAACAAAGCGCAUUUGAAUCAAGUUGACUGUUAAAUUGGUUUCAAAACCUGGUGGAAAGUUGAUUUGCUCCUUUAGGGGCUGGGACGGGGGUAGUUAUCUAAACAGGAGGGUGUUGCUAUCAGAACUCUGAAAAAGAGCAUCCGUUUCUGUCCCCAGCUUCUCAGUGCAGUCUCCGCUUCCUUCCCACCACAACCCCGUGGUGUAUUUACAUAAGAAUGAAUUUAAAUAAACCAAACAGCAUCCUCAUUUACAAUUUUAUUUAUUAUAAAAUAAUUAUUCACUGUUUUGAAGCUCCAACGACCUAGGUCUGAAGAAGAGGAGACAGCUCAAGGGGGGCUGCCUAUUCCCUGUAGCCACCGCGGGGACCUGCCUUUAACACCGAGAACAGCAACGCAGACCCUCCUGGGUGCAGCGGGCAGCGCUGUGGCCUCCGAUGCCUGCCGUUCAAAUGGCCGUUCUUUGCUGUGCGGAUGGCGGGCUGGGCGCCUUGACUGGCCCUCCGCCCCAACGUGAGCGAUUUAUGACUCUUGUUAAAUACUCAUUAGGACUUUGCACCUUUCUCCUGCAUGACCCAGGAAGCCACGGGCUCAGCAACAGCGAGGCGAGUGCCAAACAGUCAGCAAUGACCUGCAAGGAGCACGCAGCUGUAACCCAGGAGCCCAGAGGGUCGGCUGGAUGCAAUGAUCCGGUGGCCCUCUCAGCCCAACCCCUGGGUGCCCAGACAGUGUUCUCCUGCCACGCCAAGCUGGGGGCGGGGGUUGGGGGUGAGGGGAGGCGUGUCCAUGACGCCUCUGGAGCAUCCUGACCUAGAGUAGCGCCUUGAACUUGCAACACUGCGGAGACCCUCGCUUCCAGACGGGCAUGCCUCAGAGGGAAGAGUCAAGUGGGGCCGGCGGGAGGAGAUGCUGAGAGACUCCAGGAAAACACGAAAAGGAAAAAGGCCCAGAGCGAAGGACACGGAUGGUCAGACUCUCGGAGCAGUGCUUCAAUAGAGUGGGGUUUGGCUCCCCGGAAGGCGGAAGGCAGGCGAGCCGGCGCGCGAAGUGUGCCUGGGAGCCUGGAGAUUUCCCAACCCACGGGAGUUUCCCACCGUUGCAAGGCAGAGAAAGGGACGCAGUGGCCCGGCCUGCAGUGCCCCGGUGAGUGUCGGAGGAAGUGAAUUACAUGCGUGUGCGCACGUAAAUAUUUUAUAAACCUCCCCAUAAUUAACCAGAUCAUUUCCAUUGUGCCUCCAAUAUGAUCAACUGCAACAAUGUGAGGGUUUUCGGGGUUUAUAAUUUGAUGUCACCAGACGGUUGCUGCAGGGCAGAGGUACCAUCGCUGCACCAGCUGCACUCGUGUUUAUUUGUUUUUCUCCGGUGUUCCUGUAGGGCUCCAUUAUGCAGUGUUUAAUUAGUUUGCGUUUGUAUUUCACCCUUCCCAAAUCAAUGCCAUCCCCGAGCAAGGCGUUGUAAAUGCUGGCAGUACAGGUGUACCGCCUCCUCCGCAGCACUAGGAAACGCGUGUCUGACAAAUGAAAGCGGGGCUCUCUGUCAGCUCUCUGUAGCUGGGACUCCAAGAUCAAAGCCAGCGGGGACUUCUCUGCCCCCUGAGCACAGUCCUGGCUGUGGCUCCGGAUGCCAUUGGAGGGAGCCUGGCCACCUGCAUGGGAGACAACUGACUUCAUUUUGUUCAAGUCCUGGGGUCUUUGGGCCAGCGUUGGCCUCCAGCGCUUUGAGCUUGGGGCCUCCUGGGCAUGGGCUGAAUAUGUGCAGGGCUCCCACCUGGAUGCCGGGUUGUGGACAAGCAUGCAGAUAACCUAGCACCGGGACGAGGGCCCUUGUGAGUGGCUUCCUGCCUGAUUCCAAAAGUCCUUUCAAUGGAACCCAGAGCAUACAGCUCAAACUUCUGGAAUCUCCAGACAGGAGGACCCCUUCCCCCACCACCUCUCAGGGAGCAUAUUUUUUUCUAGUGCAAGAUGACAGCUGUCUAUUUGAAGACUUAUUUCAUGAUUAGUGUUUGCACUGAAGUGGGGCACCCUUCAGGAAAACUCUAACCCAGCUCAUCUGGAUCCCUGAGGCAUCCACACUGGCAGCAGGAAGACAUUCAUUGUUAUCAAACUUAUGGAAAUAGAGGCUACCAUGGCCCAGACUUUGACCUUAACCUUUAAUUUCUAAACUGUGGAAGAAUUUUUACCUCCUCUUGUUUUCAGUAAGCAAGAACAAAUAAUCCCUAGCCAUGCCCUCCUUUCUGAGAAGCUCCAAAAUUGAAUGUCUGGAUAACCCCAACAAUUGGUGCAGCUAAUGCAAAGUUUAUAACCGGACUCCUUAAGUGGGGAGUGUGACCUGCUGGAAAUCUAACAGGAUUUCUGUAUUUUCUGUGGUCCUGUUGCUGCAGAAGCAGACUGCUUCAUUUCCUCCUCUAUCCCAGGUGCUGGACAGACUCUUCUACCCCUGCAUGAUGGAAUUUCAGUGGAGAAAUGCAUGAAGGGGGGGCCGGGGGGAGGGGGCAGAGAGGGUUUUACCCUCUCACUGAGUUGAGAAUAGGAGAUAAGAACACCUCAAAUCCACUUGGUUAAAUUUUACUGUCAUUUUCAUUAUUAUUUCAUUAAUCAAAUCAUUUACUUUAAUUGGGAGCUUGGUCACCAUUGUCCCAUAAAUGUUAAAUACUAUUAAUGUGGUAUUCACCUAAGUAGGAAUGGUAUAAAAUAAAAAUGCAACACUGAUAAGAA